rnacentral:rRNA from 1 species
AGCUUUCCCUUCGGGGACUGAGGUGACAGGUGGUGCAUGGUUGUCGUCAGCUCGUGUCGUGAGAUGUUGGGUUAAGUCCCGCAACGAGCGCAACCCUUAUCUUUAGUUGCCAGCAUUUUGGAUGGGCACUCUAGAGAGACUGCCGAGGAUAACUCGGAGGAAGGUGGGGAUGACGUCAAAUCAUCAUGCCCCUUAUGCUUAGGGCUACACACGUGCUACAAUGGCUAGUACAGAGAGUUGCGAAACCGCGAGGUCAAGCUAAUCUCUUAAAGCUAGUCUCAGUUCGGAUUGCAGGCUGAAACUCGCCUGCAUGAAGCUGGAGUUACUAGUAAUCGCGAAUCAGAAUGUCGCGGUGAAUGCGUUCCCGGGUCUUGUACACACCGCCCGUCACACCACGGAAGUUGGGGGCGCCCGAAGUCAGAUAUCCAACCGUAAGGAGGAAUCUGCCGAAGGUGAAAUCAAUGACUGGGGUGAAGUCGUAACAAGGUAGCCGUAAAGGGCG